CGCCACAGUGACUUGCAAGCAACUCACUGCACUUAGGCACUGGACUACCUGAAUUUUUAAUUAAGUGACGGAAGGCUGCUGGGUGUAGUCAAGUAUUUGACUUGUCGGUGUGUGUGUCAAGAUGGGAUUGACCACUCCAGUUUAGGAGCUGUGUACAGUCGUAUUUUAAUUUAGCAAAACUUUGGCCAGGGUAGUCCUUGUGAGGAGUCAUAGGACUGUUUGAGUUGAGCACG
rnacentral:lncRNA from 1 species